rnacentral:tRNA from 1 species
GGAGAUGUGGCUCAAUGUAGCAGAACACUUGCCUAGCAUGCAUGAAGCCUUGGGUUCUAUCCCCAACAUGCCCC